GGUGGUGUCACUCAGUGGUAGAGUACUUGCCUCACAUGCAAGUGAUGCCUCACAUUAGACUCAGUACCA
rnacentral:tRNA from 1 species